UAUCAGAGGACUGAGACCAGAUGGGGGGUGAAAUAGGUGGUGACAUGACAGUGUGUUAUCAGAGGACUGAGACCAGAUGGGGGGGGUGAAAUAGGUGGUGACAUGAGGUUGGGUAUAAUUUGUGUGUUAUAAGUUUUUCAUUCAGAAUGAGAUAACGGGUAGGGAGUGAACAAUGUAAUAACGUUUUUCAACCACCACGUUUAUUCUGAAAAAUGUCUCUCUUCGUUCUGGUAGCCUCCACCAUUCCUCGUUCGUUGGUUUAGUUAUUAUUUCCGGUGUUCCUGCAUUCGCCAGGUGAACUCUGUUGCGCCUCAAUUAGGGAAUCGCUAUGGUUGAAAUGUAACUAAUCACUGCCAG
rnacentral:lncRNA from 1 species